UUUUGUGUGAAGGAUCAUCAGACUCAUGGUUUAGAGCGACGGAUCGCAGGCCAGUGUUCAGGCGGAGGACAGAAAAGAGGAGUGCCUUGAACGCUAAAACUACACAACCCUGUUUGUUGACUAGGCAGGUGGGCACAGGAACCAUGGAAAACGGCAAGUCAGAUGAACAAGACCAGGAAAUGGAGGAGGCCAACCUGGAGAUUGCUCAGCUGCAGGCCUUGGGUGGAGCUGCGUACGGGGCUGCAG